AAUUAACGCUGGCAGAGUGCAUAACACAUGCAAGUCGAGCGGAACCGUUUGAGAUUACAUCAAGGGCAGUUUAGCGGCAGACGAGUGAGUAACACGUAAGCAAUCUACCCUCGAAGUGGCGAAUAACUAUCCGAAAGGAUAGCUAAUGCGCCGUACUCUCCUUGGAAGGCAUCUUCCGAGGAGGAUAGACCCGCAAGGGUCGUUCGUGGAGGAGCUUGCGGCCCAUCAGCUAGUUGGCGGUGUAACGGACCACCAAGGCUACGACGGGUACCCGGCCUGAAAGGGCGAACGGGCACGAUGGCACUGAGACACGGGCCAUAC
rnacentral:rRNA from 1 species